rnacentral:rRNA from 1 species
UACGUAGGGGGCAAGCGUUGUCCGGAUUCAUUGGGCGUAAAGAGCGUGUAGGCGGCCAGGUAGGUCGGUUGUGAAAACUGGAGGCUCAACCUUCAGAGGUCGACCCGAAACCAUCUGGCUAGAGUCCGGGAGAGGAGAGUGGAAUUCCUGGUGUAGCGGUGAAAUGCGCAGAUAUCAGGAAGAACACCCGUGGCGAAAGCGGCUCUCUGGAACGGUACUGACGCCGAGACGCGAAAGCGU